AUGCACGCUGGCGGCGUGCCUCAUCCCUGCAAGUCGCGCGAACAGACGAGGAGCUUGCUCCUCUGACGUUAGCGGCGGACGGGUGAGUAACACGUGGAUAACCUACCUAUAAGACUGGGAUAACUUCGGGAAACCGGAGCUAAUACCGGAUAAUAUAUUUAACCGCAUGGUUCAAUAGUGAAAGACGGUUUUGCUGUCACUUAUAGAUGGAUCCGCGCCGCAUUAGCUAGUUGGUAAGGUAACGGCUUACCAAGGCAACGAUGCGUAGCCGACCUGAGAGGGUGAUCGGCCACACUGGAACUGAGACACGGUCCAGACUCCUACGGGAGGCAGCAGUAGGGAAUCUUCCGCAAUGGGCGAAAGCCUGACGGAGCAACGCCGCGUGAGUGAUGAAGGUCUUCGGAUCGUAAAACUCUGUUAUUAGGGAAGAACAAAUGUGUAAGUAACUAUGCACGUCUUGACGGUACCUAAUCAGAAAGCCACGGCUAACUACGUG
rnacentral:rRNA from 1 species